rnacentral:rRNA from 1 species
ACAACGGAGAGUUUGAUCCUGGCUCAGGAUGAACGCUGGCGGCGUGCUUAACACAUGCAAGUCGAACGAACCUUCGGGUUAGUGGCGGAC